AACGAACGCUGGCGGCAGGCCUAACACAUGCAAGUCGAGCGAGGACUUCGGUCCUAGCGGCGGACGGGUGAGUAACGCGUGGGAACGUGCCCUUUGCUUCGGAAUAGCCCUGGGAAACUGGGAGUAAUACCGGAUGAGCCCUUUGGGGGAAAGAUUUAUCGGCGAAGGAUCGGCCCGCGUUGAAUUAGGUAGUUGGUGGGGUAAUGGCCUACCAAGCCGACGAUCCAUAGCUGGUUUGAGAGGAUGAUCAGCCACACUGGGACUGAGACACGGCCCAGACUCCUACGGGAGGCAGCAGUGGGGAAUCUUAGACAAUGGGGGAAACCCUGAUCUAGCCAUGCCGCGUGAGCGAUGAAGGCCUUAGGGUUGUAAAGCUCUUUCAGCUGGGAAGAUAAUGACGGUACCAGCAGAAGAAGCCCCGGCUAACUCCGUG
rnacentral:rRNA from 1 species